AUGCGAUAAGUAGUGUGAAUUGCAGAAUUCAGUGAAUCAUCGAAUCUUUGAACGCACAUUGCGCCCCUUGGUAUUCCAUGGGGCAUGCCUGUUCGAGCGUCAUUUGUACCCUCAAGCUCUGCUUGGUGUUGGGUGUUUGUCCCCGUCUCCGCGCGUGGACUCGCCCCAAAGUGAUUGGCAGCCGGCGUACUGGUCCCGGAGCGCAGCACAUGUCGCGCAAACGAGUGCCUUGGUACGGCGGCUUCCAUAAGCCCCUCUCUCACGCUCUUGACCUCGGAUCAGGUAGGGAUACCCGCUGAACUUAAGC
rnacentral:misc_RNA from 1 species